rnacentral:rRNA from 1 species
UAGUCAUAUGCUUGUUUCAAGGAUUAAGCCAUGCAAGCCUAAGAGUAACUGAGAUAAUAGGAGGUCUGCGAACGGCUCAUUAUAUCAGAAAUUAUCUACCGGGGAAAUUGCAGUGAAAACUGCCUUAAUGGAUAACUUCGCUAACGCGAAGCUAAUACAUGUACGUCACGCGAUGUUCGCCAACACACUGCCGGAUGUUACAGUCUAGCAGGGCGGAUGUCUCGCGAAUGGUUGAAACAAAGACCGCCGCCAGCAAUGGCAGUGUCUCAAACCGAUGAAUCAAACCAUUCAGCAAAAGCGUGCUUCGGCACGCGUCCCCCGACGAAUUUCUGCCCUAUCAGCUUUUGACGGUAGUGUAGUGGACUACCGUGGCGAUCACGGGUACGGGGAAUUAGGGUUCGAUUCCGGAGAGGGAGCCUGAGAAACAGCUACCACUUCUACGGAGGGCAGCAGGCGCGUAAAUUGCCCAAUGCCAAACUGGUGAGGCAGCGAAGAGAAAUAGCGACCAAGGCCUUUUGGUUUUGGAUUGCAAUGAGUGGUAUGUAAAGCCACCUACGAGUAACAAUUGGAGGACAAGUCUGGUGCCAGCACCCGCGGUAAUUCCAGCUCCAAUAGCGUAUAUUAAUGCUGCUGCUGUUAAAGGGUUCGUAGUUGAAUGCGGAGUUCUUGGGACUUAUUGUCACUUCGGUGUCAUAAACUAUGUCCCUCCUCUGUCAUAGACGGGACUGAUGCCUGGCUGAAGAUCUCUUUUAUAAAGUUGGUCUGAAGCUGUUAAGUGAAGAGCUUAACGUUUCGCAUGCGACGCAUGUAUUGGCCGUCCGUCGUUAUCACUGUGAAUAAAACAGCGUGUUCAAGGCAGCCGUAACGGCUGAAUGACAAAGCAUGGAAUGACAAAGCAUCGACCGGUGGGUCUGUCUUUUGUCGGUUUUUACAAUUCAUUUGGAUAGUUUGUAAUCGGUCGUUUCCUUUACAUUUAUGUUUUGGAACUCCGAGGACACGGGAUUAAUGGGGGUUGUCGGGGGAAAACGUAUCUGAGCGUGAGAGGUGAAAUUCUUAGACCGCUCGGGGACGAACUUAUGCGAAGGCAUUUUCCAAGUAUACCUUCAUCAAUCAAGAACUAAAGUGUGGAGAUCGAAGAUGAUUAGAUACCAUUGUAGUCCACUACUGCAAACGAUGACGCCCAUGGAUCGGAUAGUUUUUUGCUUCGAUGGGAUCUUUUCGGCACUGCUUCCCCUUCAACGCGAAAGCUGAGGCUAUGGUCUCAUGGGGGAGUACGUU